AUAAGUCCAGCUAAACAUGCCAGUAGUCUUUUAGUCUGAAUGUAGUUGUAGGUGUGAUUAUGGUGUGAGUAGAGUGUGCGUUUGUUGGGUUGGUGUACGUAUAUGAACUGAUACUACACUUUAUAUCCAUGCUAGCAAAUAUGCCUGUGCAUUGCAACGGGAGCCUCUGUAUAUCAUCGGCAAUGCACCCCUACACAUAUCCUCUCUUAUCGGCAGUGGCGACUGACGUCCAUAGUGUCUCAUGAAGCCCACACUUGCAUAUAUCCAUC
rnacentral:lncRNA from 1 species